GGGGUUGUAGCAUAGUGGCUAGAGCGUCAGACUCACAACUGAAAGGUCGGGGUUCGAUUCCCGAUCCCA
rnacentral:tRNA from 1 species